CACUCUAGAGAGACUGCCAGGGAUAACCUGGAGGAAGGUGGGGAUGACGUCAAAUCAUCAUGCCCCUUAUGCUUAGGGCUACACACGUGCUACAAUGGGUAGUACAGAGGGUUGCCAAGCCGUAAGGUGGAGCUAAUCCCUUAAAGCUACUCUCAGUUCGGAUUGUAGGCUGAAACUCGCCUACAUGAAGCUGGAGUUACUAGUAAUCGCAGAUCAGAAUGCUGCGGUGAAUGCGUUCCCGGGUCUUGUACACACCGCCCGUCACACCACGGGAGUUGGAGACGCCCGAAGCCGAUUAUCUAACCUUUUGGAAGAAGUCGUCGAAGGUGGAAUCAAUAACUGGGGUGAAGUCGUAACAAGGUAGCCGUAUCGGAAGGUGCGGCUGGAUCACCUCCUUUCUAAG
rnacentral:rRNA from 1 species